UUGCGUUAGGGAUUGCAAUGAAAAUCCUUUUUAUUUUUUUCUUUAAAAAAUAAAAAGAUUGUAAUGGAAAGCCCGACCGAAG
rnacentral:sRNA from 1 species